GACGAACGCUGGCGGCGUGCCUAAUACAUGCAAGUCGAACGCAGUGGGGACGGGUGAGUAACACGUGGGUAACCUCCCAUCAGAGGGGAUAACACUUGGAAACAGGUGCUAAAACGAUACUGAUGGAUGGACCCGGGUGGCAUUAGCUAGUGGGUGAGGUAACGGCUCACCAAGGCCACGAUGCAUAGCCGACCGGAGAGGGUGAUCGGCCACACUGGAACUGAGACACGGCCCAGACUCCGACGGGAGGCAGCAGUGGGGAAUCUUCGACAAUGGGCGAAAUUCUGACCGAGCAACGCCGCGUGAGUGAAGAAGGUUUUCGGAUCGUAAACCUCUGUUAUUGGGGAAGCGGUAGCUAACCAAAAAGCCACGGCUAACUACGUGCCAGCAGCCGCGGUAAUAC
rnacentral:rRNA from 1 species